AAGCAUACAUACAAGUCAGCAUCAUUUACGUAUGGUAUCAGUUGCCUUACAAGUUAAAGGUGACUUAAGUUUUCAAAAAAGUGGAUCGGCUACACCCUUCUUUCUUUUAGUGUUAAAAAACAUAUUUGGGUUAGUCCUCUUUCUGUUCAGUAGGUUUUACUGCAUGCAACAAUCGUUCAAUCACAAAGGAUUUUAUGAUAAAGUUCGAUGAAUUAGGCUUUUCAAGUUUCAAUGUUCUUAAUCUCAGAAUUCAAAAGUAAUUAAUAAUGUACAUACUAUUACUUUCCUUUAUUAUUGAUUAAAAAUUAGAAAAGAUUGUUUGGAAUCGGUUGAAUUUCUUCAAAUCGGUUUAUUAUUCUGGACCUCCUACAUAAUGAGGUACUGAAAUUUACACCGAUAGCCUAAAAUUGAUUAUCUGUGAUUCACACCUUCCUCUUUCAGAUGUGUGAUAUGCUGUUCCCUCAAUUAUGCCUGAGAAUUCCAUCCACAAAUGCGAUGCAUGUCAGGGGCCUUCAGUCCCUUGGUCAACUUUUUGGUUGUACAUCCAAGAACAUCGAUAAUCAUUUGGAUGCCCUUGCAUCACACCAAAGUGUUGGAAACAAGAAUCUUUGCCAGAGUGAGACAUUGCAAGAUAUGGGCAUGGAUCAAUCUGGUCAACCCACUUUAUUCUGCGAAGCAUCAAUGGCAACACUACUGAGAGGACUUGCAAUAGCUCCCAUUCAGCUUAGCCCGUGUACCAACUUCUUUAUUUUUCUGGCCAUUGAUACAGCCUGAAGGGGCAGCCAGCGAUGACAUUGCAUUGGGUAUUGCUGUUGGUAGCACAGGAAGAGGCAACCUUCCUGGUUCUACAUCAGAUAUUCGAGCAGCGCUUCUUUUACUUUUGAUUGGUAAAUGCACAGCUGAUCAGGAGGCACUAAAGGAGGUAGAAGGCAAUGGGGUUCUUCAGGGGCCUUCUGGAUGACACAGAUUCAAGGGUAGCAUAUACUAUUCUGCUGCUUUUCUUUUGAAGAGAAUGAUGACAGAGGAACUAGAGAUCUACCAACGGAUGCUUGAAAGCCUCAUCUCAAAAGCUCAACAGAUGCUAUGCGUGUGUUUGGUUGCAGGUCCUGUGGUAGCCUGGCUUACUACAUGCCUUCCCGCAUGGAGAUGGUUGAGCAUACAUGCAUCGAUGCAAGUUACGUAUUUGUGAAAGUCUUUUACCUGCAUGCAGGGAUACGCGUGAAAUGGCCGUACGUGAUGGGCCAUGCUCACAUGAGCCCGGCUACACGGACAGGCAUCCAAUCACCACCUAUGUGAAUGAUGUAAAUUAUCGAUGGGGGCAUGUACAUGCCUCUGAAUUUGUUUGUUUAUUCUUUGUUAGACUAGUCACUGUCCAAGAGAGUCACUGUGGAUAAUCCUGUGUUAUGGACAGAGACACAAUUCUACAAUUUUGUAUUGCUGAACCAUUCAUUGAGAUCUUGCAUUUGCAUGU